GUGGGAACAAUACGGUUGUGAUUAGAUGUCUUAAAGAUGUCAACAUAAGCAUUAAACAGACUACCUCAACUACCGCCCAUUAGCAGUUAAAAAAGUGAAUCCUCAGUGAUGGUGAUGAGGCUGAAAAUAUCCGUGAUUUAGCAUGCAGUUACCAGUAAAUAUAUUCUAGUUAAAUAUUCAUCACUUCAUCCAUGGCUUUGCAAAGAAAUGUAUUUUGUCUACAAAUAUAAAAAACAGCCUUGUGGAUACUCAGAUGUUUGCGUCAUCAUGGAGGAGUGUUUACUAUGCAGUGCAUGACAGCUAAUGGUGUGCUAAUGGCACUAAAUGGUAACCAGAAAACAAUACUACAGCUAUAAAGACAAUCACCCUGAACAAGACCAUCCAACUUGAGGGGAGUAACUCUGUCGUUGAUGAACUUUUCUUUCUCAGCAGCUUUCUGUUUGGC